GCGGCCAUGGCGGGGGUGCAAUACCCGUUCCCAUCCCGAACACGGAAGUCAAGCCCCCCUGCGCCGAUGAUACUGCCCCNNGNGGGCGGGAAAGCAGGUGGCCGCCGGGC
rnacentral:rRNA from 1 species